GAUCCUGGCUCAGGAUGAACGCUAGCGGCAUGGAUAAGGCAUGCAAGUCGAGCGGUGAAGCUCACUUCGGUGAGUGGAUCAGCGGCGAACGGGUGAGUAACGCGUGAACAACUUGCCCUCGACACAGGGAUAGCCCCGGGAAACUGGAGUUAAUACCUGAUGAAGUACUGUUACGCAUGUAACGGCUACGAAAGAUUGAUUUCGGUCGAGGAGAGGUUCGCGUCCCAUUAGUUAGUUGGUAGGGUAACGGCUUACCAAGACGAAGAUGGGUAGCUGGUCUGAGAGGAUGAUCAGCCACACUGGGGCUGAGACACGGCCCAGACUCCUACGGGAGGCUGCAGUCGAGAAUAUUCGGCAAUGGGCGAAAGCCUGACCGAGUGAUGCCGCGUGAAGGAUGAAGGCCUUCGGGUUGUAAACUUCUGUCAAGAGGGACGAAUAACUGACGGUACCUCUAGAGGAAGCCCCGGCUAAAUACGUGCCAGCAGCCGCGGUAAUACGUAUGGGGCGAGCGUUAUCCGGAAUUACUGGGCGUAAAGGGUUCGUAGGGGGUCUGCCAAGUCUGAUGUGAAAUCCCGUGGCUCAACCACGGACGUGCAUUGGAAACUGGUGGACUUGAGUGUGCGAGAGGAAAGCGGAAUUCCCGGUGUAGCGGUGGAAUGCGUAGAUAUCGGGAAGAACACCAGAGGCGAAAGCGGCUUUCUGGCGCACAACUGACCCUGAGGAACGAAAGCGUGGGUAGCGAACAGGAUUAGAUACCCUGGUAGUCCACGCCGUAAACUUUGUAUGCUCGAUGUGGGUGUCAUCCAGUGACAUCCGUGUCUAAGCUAACGCGUUAAGCAUACCGCUGGGGACUACGAUCGCAAGAUUAAAACUCAAAGGAAUUGACGGGGGCCCGCACAACCGGUGGAGCAUGUUGCUUAAUUCGAUGCAACGCGAAGAACCUUACCCAGGUUUGACAUAUACUGGCCCGACUGUGAAAGCAGUUUUUCUUUCGAGAACCAGUAUACAGGUACUGCAUGCGUCGUCAGCUCGUCCGAGGUGUUCGUUAAGUCCGCACGAGCGCACCCCUAUGGUCAGUUGCCAGCG
rnacentral:rRNA from 1 species